rnacentral:lncRNA from 1 species
CGACACAAACAUUGACAUAACAAUCUUGACAUAAUUAUUAGAUAUCCAUAGAUUAGAAAUGAUGCAUAGGGUCCGGUCUGCCAGGGCUACGCCUUUGUCGCUCGUAAACAAACUGGGCCGUCUCCCGUCUCGCUGAUUCCGCCUUCUUCCCUGCGUUGGAGCUCCCAACACCAUGAUGGCUCCUUGACUGGUGUCCAUGGAGCAGCAACCAUGACUCGGACGUCCCAAGCGAGGACAACAUCAAUGCCAAACAGAAAAGGAGACCGAGCCUUGUGUUGAAUCUCCUCAUGAAGGCCUCCUUAUCCUGUGAUC